CCAUGAUGAACUUUCUGUGUGUGCUGCAGACAAGUCAUGUGCAAUCAGGCUUAGUAAUAUGUAAUAUUCAGAAAACACCACUCCCAUGGAGAUUGGAGUACUCAGAGGGCUACUUACCCCAGAGGAGAGGAUGAGAAGAAGAACUAAACAAUUGUGCAUGUACUGUGCCAGCCCUAACCAUACAGUCUCUGAAUGUCCAAUACUACGCAAAAACAAGAAAAUGGGACCAUAGAAGAUUGAAGAUAACCGCCAUCAUUGAUUCUGGGGCCUUUGGCAAUUUCAUUGAUGCUACUGUUGUAACCAAAAAUAAAAUUCCAACUGUAUUGAAAAAGA